rnacentral:rRNA from 1 species
UACGGGGGGGGCAAGCGUUGUUCGGAAUUACUGGGCGUAAAGGGCUCGUAGGCGGCCAACUAAGUCAGACGUGAAAUCCCUCGGCUUAACCGGGGAACUGCGUCUGAUACUGGAUGGCUUGAGUUUGGGAGAGGGAUGCGGAAUUCCAGGUGUAGCGGUGAAAUGCGCAGAUAUUGGGAAGAACACCAGUGGCGAAGGCGGUUCUCUGGGACGGUACUGACGCUGAGACGCGAAAGCGUGGGAGCGAACAGG